CAUGCUCCAACUCUAACUCAAAAUUUAAAAAAUAAUCUAGUGCUCGACUUUAAUCAUAAUCUCAACUCAAAUUCAAAAUAAAAGAGAUUCAUGACCCUUAAGAGGCUUAAUUUAAUAUAAAGACGAAAGGAGGAAGAUAUCAUGAAAUUUCAAGACUCCAAAAGUUUAUCUUUUCCUCAAUUCUCUGAAUCCUCUUCCAAGUCUUUCUCUUCUUCAUCCUUGUUAAUUAGAAUUCGAAAUGAAGAGGACAAGGAUGAUGAUUUCUGAAGUGAAUGGGUUUAUUCAACCAUUAGUAAGAAAACUAAUUUACAAGAGAUAUAAAAAAGAUGUUCUAGCACAUCUUUCUACCAACUACCUGCUACAUCCUUACUUAAGGACACACAUUACAUCAUUACAUAAAGACAUGCUAGUGCAGGCUAUACAUCAGAAAAAUGUAAAGGACUACUCACUAUAAUCAUUACAAAAUACAUAGGGCUUGACAACAAAAUAAACAUAGCUUAGCCUUAUACUUGAUACUUAAGGACUUGACAAUUGUGACAACAAAAGUGGCAACCAACAUCUAUACUCCUCCUUGACACUUUUGUUGGAAACACCAAGACUCUUUCUAAGUGUUUCAAAUCUUCCUUUGGACAAGGACUUGGUUAGAAUGUCGACAUACUGAUCUUCACCUUUGCAACGUACCAGCUUUACCUCACAAUUUUCUUGUGCUUCUCUAAUUACAUGAUACUUGAUUUUAAUGUGUUUCGAUCUUCCAUGGAACACUGGAUUUUUGACCAUAGCUACAGCUGAUUGAUUAUCACAAAAAAUUAUAGUUGCUCAGUUUGUUUAGCAUCCAAAUCCUCUAGCAUUUUCCUCAGCCAAUGUGCCUGAUUUGUUGCUUCUGCUGCUGUUACAUACUCUGCUUCUGCUGUUGAUUGAGCAACAGUUUUCUGCUUCAUCGAGUUCCAGCAAAUAAUGUUUGUUCUGAGAUAAAAUGUAUAUCCAGAUGUGCUCUUCAUAUCAUCAAGAGAUUCGGCCCAGUUACUGUCUAUGUAUCCAGUUAAAUUCCAGGAUUUUGACCUCUUAAACCAGAUUCACAAAUCAGCACUUCGUUUGAUAUAUCUCAAAACUCUUUUGGCUGCCUGGAAAUGCAAUUCACUUGGUUCCUCCCUGAACCUCGAAAGCAAAUUAGUAGCAUAAGUGAGGUCAGGUCUUGUGAUUGUCAAAUACAAUAAACAACCAACCAAGCUCCUAUACAACUUUCCAUCAAUCUUCUUACUACCAUCAUCUUUCACCAGUUUCACAUUUUGAACCAAAUGAGUUUCUAUUGGCUUACAGUUGUCCAUACUGAAUUUCUUUAAUAUCUCAAUAGCAUAUCUUCUUUGACACACAAAAAUGCCUUCUUGUGUCUGGUCGAUUUCCAUUCUAAGAAAGUACUUCAUCUUUCCUAAAUCAGUCAUUUCAAAUGACUUCAUCAUUUUUGCCUUAGUUCUGUCUAUCAGUUCCUUACUGCUGCUGGUUAUUAGUAGAUCAUCAACAUAUAAGGAAAUGAUGAUUGACUCUUCUUCAGUUUUCUUCAUGUACAAGGUCUGUUCAUUGACAUUUCUCACAAACCCAAGGCUGCUCAUGUGUUCAUCAAUUCGGCUGUACUAGGCUCUUGGAGCUUGCUUCAACCCAUACAAUGCCUUCUUCAACUGAUACACUUUGUCCUCUUCUCCAGCGACUUGAAAUCCAUCAGGUUGAUCGACAUAAAUCUCCUCAUUUAACCAGCCAUUUAGGAAAGCUGAUUUAACAUCCAGCUGAUGAAUUUCCCAGCCUCUUUGAGCAGCUAUAGCCAGCAACAACCUUAUAGUUUCAUACCUUGCCACUGGUGCAAACGUGUCUGAGUAAUCAAUACCAUAUUGCUGUGCAUACCCUUUCACAACAAGUCUGGCCUUAAGCUUGUUAAUAGAUCCAUCUGAGUUCAUCUUGGUCUUGAACACCCAUUUGACUCCAAUAACAUUUUUGUUCAUUGGCCUAUCUACCAGCUUCCAAGUUCCAUUCUUUUCAAUCAUCUUAAGUUCCUCCUCCAUUGCUGCCAACCAGUCAGAUGAAUUUACAGCUUCAGCAGCAUUUGUUGGCUCUAAUAUUGCUGAAUUGCACCUUGCAUAUACAUCAGCCAAUGACCUGGUUUUUAGUACUGG
rnacentral:lncRNA from 1 species